rnacentral:lncRNA from 1 species
UUAUAGUUAAUUGCUAAUUGCACAAAAUGAUAGUUUGAGGGCCUGUAAUUAAAAGCUUAACCUUUCUGGUUUGGGGGAAGGGGACCCCAGUAGAUAUUUUUUUUCUUGAUACACUUUGUAACAUUCAAUUACAAGGCUUAAGGAAAGAAAAACGGAAGCAAAAGCAACACUCCUAGAAGGACUGAUCUUUGUUUUGUGUCAAACAGUUCCUGAGCCUAUAAUUUGCUUUUUGUGCACUUCAGUUUAUUUCGCCUGAUUGAGGUGCGUUGUCUGUUGUGGCCCAUUGAGCAGUUAACAAGAGUGGGAGUUAUUGCACCUUCACUGAAGAGUUUUUAUACUUUUUUUAAAGUUGUUUUUACCUUGAAUGACUCAAACUUGGCAGAUUUCAAUAAUAUCAUGUCCUGGCUCUAUUCUGUUGCUGAUCCGAGGAGUAGAGGACACUACCUAGCUGUAUUCUCCUUGCCCUGGUUCUCCUGGGCAUUUGUCAAAGCUAGUCAGCAGAAGGGAUGUUUAUUUGGGAAUUUACCAUCCCCAGGAGACAGAGAGAUGAGGAAAAUUCUGAGUCAGGAUACAUUUUGGUUUAUCUGGGGUUUAUCUAGAUUGUGACUGAAAAACAUGAAGUGGCUUUAUUUGAUGUAUAGAUGAAGACUUGUACUCCAGCUCAUUGUGAAUGCUACUUUGCUCAUUCUGUAGUUACAUGAUCAAUACAAACUGCAGGAGCCACACACAUGUUGCAUGUGAAACAAAUUAAAUUUGUGCCAUUUGGUAGUGCAAAUGCAUGCUUGUGCUGUCCACCUCACAGGCACUGAGGUGAAUGGUCAAACCCUAGGUGCAUGAUGUGUUCAGUUUUCUUGAGGUUGGGAAAAGGCCAUUUCCACUUUACUGAGGACAAAAGGGAGUAGAGGGCAUGGAUGGAAUCAACAUGAAAAGGCACAGCAUUAAUAAAGAAUGAUGUAGUUUGUUUUUAACAUUUUAUUCAGUGAGAAAUGUACACUACAAGCUAAACAUUGAUAUAGGAC